ACGGCAGUAGGGAAUUUUCGUCAAUGGGGGAAACCCUGAACGAGCAAUGCCGCGUGAGCGAAGAAGGAUUUCGGUCUGUAAAGCUCUGUUGUAAAGGAAGAACGCUAGACAAAGGAAAUGUUGUGUAGUUGACGGUACUUUACCAGAAAGCCACGGCUAACUACGUGCCAGCAGCCG
rnacentral:rRNA from 1 species